rnacentral:rRNA from 1 species
UACGUAGGCAGCAAGCGUUGUUCGGAAUUACUGGGCGUAAAGAGUGUGUAGGCGGUGUUCCAAGUCUGUUGUGAAAUCUCCCGGCUUAACUGAGAGGGUGCGGCGGAAACUGGGAUGCUAGAGGAUGGGAGAGGUAAGCGGAAUUCCUGGUGUAGCGGUGAAAUGCGUAGAUAUCAGGAGGAACACCUGUGGUGUAGACAGCUUACUGGACCAUUUCUGACGCUGAGACACGAAAGCGUGGGUAGCAAACAGG